rnacentral:rRNA from 1 species
CCUACGGGAGGCAGCAGUGAGGAAUAUUGGUCAAUGGGCGCGAGCCUGAACCAGCCAAGUAGCGUGAAGGAUGACUGCCCUCCGGGUUGUAAACUUCUUUUAUAAAGGAAUAAAGUGAGGCACGUGUGCCUUUUUGUAUGUACUUUAUGAGUAAGAGUAGGCUAACUCCGUGCCAGCAGCCGCGGUAAUACGGAGGAUCCGCGCGUUAUCCGGAUUUAUUGGGUGUAAAGGGAGCGUAGAUGGGUUGUUAAGUCAGUUGUGAAAGUUUGCGGCUCAACCGUAAAAUUGCAAUUGAUACUGGCAGCCUUGAGUACAGUUGAGGUAGGCGGAAUUCGUGGUGUAGCGGUGAAAUGCUUAGAUAUCACGAAGAACGCCGAUUGCGAAGGCAGCCUACUAGGCUGCCACUGACGCUGAGGCUCGAAAGUGUGGGUAUCAAACAGGAUUAGAUACCCCUGUAGUC